GAGUUCCUCAACAUGUCUACGAUUCAACUUUGUAACGCUAGUUCUGUGCAUUACACACCCUGAAAUGCAGACUGAACAUACAAGUGUCCAGGGUACUUAAUCUUCUUUCUUCUUCUAAAUUACCCCAUAAGAUAUUCUGCACAGCCAACGUGGGCUUACAAUAAACUGAUUCCCCUUGACACACUGCAUACAUGUAACAUUUGCUUUAUUUUAUUAUCCUGAUCAGCUUUCAAGUCAUAGAAGGAAAAGGUGGAGAAAGACACACGCAGUCACUUCAUUGCAAGGACAGGUACAGAGACUUGCGGCCACCUGAAAAAGAAGCAUUUCUACUUCGUCUGUCACCGGUCUGGAAGUUAUGCUUCACAAGCUACAAGUAAACAAAAGCUGAAGCGGCCUUCAAGUGUCAAGUGUGGAAAAAGAUGUUUUGCGGCAAUGGCUGUGACUGAAGACAACACAGGUGUGUAUGUGGUUUUCCAAUUCAAGCACAGAGGCCACGACUUUGAACUGGGUCGUGUUUUUCUGUCCAAGUCGGAAAGAGCCGCUAUUGCUGACAAGCUGCGAGAAGGCGUGUCCAUGGAUGCAGUACUGGAUAAUGUGCGGUCCAACGUGGAUGAGACAUUCCACCGCAUUAACCUGUUAA